rnacentral:tRNA from 1 species
GUAGGAAUCGAACCUACUCCUAAGAGAUCAAAACUCUCCGUAAUCC